rnacentral:rRNA from 1 species
GACGAACGCUGGCGGCGUGCUUAACACAUGCAAGUCGAACGGAAAGGCCCUGCUUUUGUGGGGUGCUCGAGUGGCGAACGGGUGAGUAACACGUGAGUAACCUGCCCUUGACUUUGGGAUAACUUCAGGAAACUGGGGCUAAUACCGGAUAGGAGCUCCUGCUGCAUGGUGGGGGUUGGAAAGUUUCGGCGGUUGGGGAUGGACUCGCGGCUUAUCAGCUUGUUGGUGGGGUAGUGGCUUACCAAGGCUUUGACGGGUAGCCGGCCUGAGAGGGUGACCGGCCACAUUGGGCCUGAGAUACGGCCCAGCCUCCUGCGGGCGGCAGCAGUGGGGAAUAUUGCACAAUGGGCGGAAGCCUGAUGCAGCAACGCCGCGUGCGGGAUGACGGCCUUCGGGUUGUAAACCGCUUUCGCCUGUGACGAAGCGUGAGUGACGGUAAUGGGUAAAGAAGCACCGGCUAACUACGUG